AAUGGCAGAUAAAAUGAUGACACUCUUGCCCUCACUCAGAAGUGUUUGAUAAUGAGAAUUUUGAUUUUCUUCUCAAAGAUCUGAGCCAGC